GAAAGAGAGAGAGAAGGCAUGGAAAUUGUAUAAUUGUGGUAAGAAACUUGAGGACUAUAAGAUAAAUUGCAGUAUCAUCCACUGUUUCACAUCUAUAUGUAAAGAACUUAAGGAAGUUUCAUCCCAUUCAAAGAUGAUACCGAUUAAUUAACCAUAAGUUAAAAUUCAAUAUGGUUGUAUAGUGCUAACUAAUAUGAUUGUAAGGAAAAUUACUAUUUAGCCUCUGUAUUUUAACGAAACUAACAACUUGAUCCAUGUAUUUUAAAAAAUAUACUAU
rnacentral:misc_RNA from 1 species